rnacentral:rRNA from 1 species
CCUACGGGUGGCAGCAGUGAGGAAUAUUGGUCAAUGGGCGGAAGCCUGAACCAGCCAAGUCGCGUGAGGGAUUAAGGCCCUGCGGGUCGUAAACCUCUUUUGCCGGGGAGCAGAGGUCCGGACGUGUCCGGGCCGGGAGAGUACCCGGAGAAAAAGCAUCGGCUAACUACGUGACAGCAGCCGCGGUAAUACGGAGGAUGCGAGCGGUAUCCGGAUUUAUUGGGUUUAAAGGGUGCGUAGGCGGGCAUUUAAGCCGGCGGUCAAAUGUCGGGUCUCAACUCCGGCCUGCCGUCGGAACUGGGUGCCUUGAGUGGGCGAGAAGUAUGCGGAAUGCGUGGUGUAGCGGUGAAAUGCAUAGAUAUCACGCAGAACCCCGAUUGCGAAGGCAGCAUACCGGCGCCCUACUGACGCUGAGGCACGAAAGUGCGGGUAUCGAACAGGAUUAGAUACCCCAGUAGUC